UGAAAAGAAAAAUGUAGACUAGACAUAUAUAAUAGAACACUGUUUUUAGCUGUUUCACUGAAAACCUGGGGAAAAACAGAAACUGUUUUAACCCAUAGAGAUAAACAGACAUCUUCAACUUAUCCAGUACAAAAACAAGACUUAAAACAGCAACAAAUCUCACUCUCCCUAGACUUGAUUACUUGAUGUACUGAGACAUCCACCUGAAGCCUUCCCCAUAACCCAUUUUGCGGACUAUGCUGCACAUGAACACCUCAAGUGGACGGACAUUGGAUUCUGCCAGGUUUACCUUCCCCUUGCCAGUAGUGACGCCUGUUAGCCCCAAAUGGUAACGCAGUUCGUCUUCAGAGGCAGCAUAAGGAAUGUCUAUCUUGUUACCCAAUAUAAGAAAUGGCACAGUGGCCAAGGACUCGUCAGAGAGGAGAGCAUCCAGCUCUUUCUUAGACUCGGCAAACCUUUCUUUGUCAUAGGAAUCCACCAAGUAUACAACAGCAUCCACCUUAGCAUAAUAAUCUUUCCAAACACGGCGAGCAAUCUGAUGACCACCCAA
rnacentral:misc_RNA from 1 species